rnacentral:rRNA from 1 species
AAACUCCUACGGGAGGCAGCAGUAGGGAAUUUUCGUCAAUGGGGGGAACCCUGAACGAGCAAUGCCGCGUGAGUGAGGAAGGUCUUCGGAUCGUAAAGCUCUGUUGUAAGAGAAAAACGGCACUCAUAGGGAAUGAUGAGUGAGUGAUGGUAUCUUACCAGAAAGUCACGGCUAACUACGUGCCAGCAGCCGCGGUAAUACGUAGGUGGCGAGCGUUAUCCGGAAUGAUUGGGCGUAAAGGGUGCGUAGGUGGCAGAUCAAGUCUGGAGUAAAAGGUAUGGGCUCAACCCGUACUGGCUCUGGAAACUGAUCAGCUAGAGAACAGAAGAGGACGGCGGAACUCCAUGUGUAGCGGUAAAAUGCGUAGAUAUAUGGAAGAACACCGGUGGCGAAGGCGGCCGUCUGGUCUGGAUUCUGACACUGAAGCACGAAAGCGUGGGGAGCAAAUAGGAUUAGAUACCCUAGUAGUCCACGCCGUAAACGAUGAGAACUAGGUGUUGGGGGAAUAACUCAGUGCCGCAGUUAACGCAGUAAGUUCUCCGCCUGGGGAGUAUGCACGCAAGUGUGAAACUCAAAGGAAUUGACGGGGGCCCGCACAAGCGGUGGAGUAUGUGGUUUAAUUCGAAGCAACGCGAAGAACCUUACCAGGCCUUGACAUCCCUUGCAGAGGUAUAGAGAUAUAUCCGAGGUUAUCAAGGAGACAGGUGGUGCAUGGUUGUCGUCAGCUCGUGUCGUGAGAUGUUGGGUUAAGUCCCGCAACGAGCGCAACCCUUGUGAUAUGUUACUAACAUUGAGUUGAGGACUCAUAUCAGACUGCCGGUGAUAAACCGGAGGAAGGCGGGGAUGACGUCAAAUCAUCAUGCCCCUUAUGGCCUGGGCUACACACGUACUACAAUGGCGUCUACAAAGAGCGGCAAGCCUGUGAAGGCAAGCGAAUCUCAUAAAGGACGUCUCAGUUCGGAUUGAAGUCUGCAACCCGACUUCAUGAAGCUGGAAUCGCUAGUAAUCGCGAAUCAGCAUGUCGCGGUGAAUACGUUCUCGGGCCUUGUACACACCGCCCGUCAAACCAUGGGAGUUGGUAAUGCCCGAAGCCGGUGGCAUAACCCUUCGGGGAGUGAGCCGUCGAAGGCAGGACCGAUGACUGGGGUUAAGUCGUAACAAGGUAUCCCUACGGGAACGUGGGGAUG